AAUAUUCCCUUGAAGCAGGCAUAUUAGCAAGCGGUACGUUCUUGGCAAGAAGCCGCUGCUAGUGACAGGGCAUUCAUAUUAGCGAACAACCGCACGUUGUCCGCUCUUUCUCUUCAAGUAAUGGAAACGGUACACGAACUCUGCCGUCCUCUCGAGCGAACCAAGUGGAAGGCUGCUGAUUGGUAAUCGUUAAUUACGCCCGUAACUUCCUCCAGAGGAACUUCUAUUUCGACAGUUUUUAAAAUAUCGGCACUUUUCGCCGGCGAUAGGGCCUCGAGGAGGCGGGGGUUGAAAAUGGUGGAUCCAAGAGAGAAAGUGGAGUCGAGAGAGGAUAUCGUGGACAAGAACGUAUUGAUCGAGUUAUAGUCUUUGGGGUCUCGAGCCUCUGUCGCGAGGGAGCCAAUGAGAGAUCUCGAGGGUGAAUUUAGAGCAAGAAUGGCGACUGAUGGUUUCUAUCGAAACGAACCCCUUUACGCACUGGGACAGAACCGUAAGAAGUAAAGAACAUAUUUUUAAUUUGCUAUUAUUUGCACUUAAAAUAUUGGAAACUCGUCCACCAUUGUGUCUCUAGUGUUGAAUACUUAGCUGCUCUUUGCUCUUUCUUACAUCUGAUAUUUUAUAUUUUUAUGAGAAGGUCAAUAGAUCCAAUAAGACCUGCUUUAAUAAAUUCAUUGAUUCAGAAUUCGAAAUUGACUAUCUAUUACAGUUAACAAAUAAUAAUGUUUGAUUAUCAAAAAAAUAUAUUAUAUACAGAGUAUUAUAAAAAAAUAUGAGAAGCAAUAAAUAAUUUUUAUUAGCUUUAACGUUGCUUAUUUUAGAUUUGAAAUUUUUAUUUUGACUUUUUUCUUGGGAUUCUACGCCAUCGUGUAUCGUGGAAGCGUACACGAGAACAGGUGAAUACCUUAAUCGAGUUGAAUUGUUGCGCCACCCUUUUCCUGAGAAAAUGGAUGCUAAAUUAAUGGACAACCCCAUUUAGAAUCAACGUAAAAGUUUUGAUCGGUCGAUUUCCUAGAUUUCAACGUAACUCACGGUGACAACGAAGCAAGCAAAAUUGAAAUAACAUGAACUCGGGUUCCCGUUUCGGAGAGCAAGUUUAAUUGCAAAAGUAGGGAUCAAAGUUUUUCAACGGUUAGUAAUUAGAUGUUUCGAUAAAGUUUCAACGUUUCACACUGCGGAUGAUCAAAGUGCUCAGCUGAAUUCUAAACGACUCCAUUCUUCGUAACGAAAGACGAUUAUCUGGGAUCUCCUUGUUCUCCUCUCUAACACGUUCCAUUUAAAGACUGGAAAAUUAACAUUUCAGGAAAAGAAUUGCUAAUGAUGAUUAUCUGAAGCUUCAAAAAUUUUGAUUACAUUUGAUCUUUCAAUAUUUUUCAUGUGGUGUCAUUGUAAUUGACAAGAAAUAAUAAUGUUUGAUUAAUACCACUAAUUGAUUCUUUUGAAUUUCGAGUCAAAAAUAAAUUAGAAAUUACUAGAAAAGAAAUGUUAAUUGUUUAGUAAUGCUCUUGUGCUGUUAAUAUAAUUAACAUAUAAUACAACAAUUGAUUAAUUACUACUCAAGAAUUUUAACAUUCCAAUUGAUUCUCCAAAUCAUCAACCUAGAAAUAAAAAAAAUCACCAGUAAAAAUAUUCCAAAUUGAAAAGAAACCACCAGUAGAAAAGGAAAUUGAAUAAUCGCAGAAAAAAGAAGUAAUAAAAAGUAGAGCUACGUUCUCCAUCGAUCAGCCGUAUCCUCUCGACACCUACCGCCCAUCGAAACCAUCAGAAUUGCCAAUAAUAGCCGAGAAUAAGGAGGAGAAAAGAGAUAACUAUCCGAUAGAAAAAGGGCAAAAGGAAAUAGGAAAGGGUGACGGUAAUUUCCAAGCGAUCGCCGUUGAACAGAAGAAGCGAUACGUCCUCCAUUACUCGGCUGGCUCCAUAAAUCACAGUCGGCCUCCAUCGUCCCGAUAGAAUUCCCCAUAAUUCGUGAAUUAUUCGCGAAGAGGAGAGCGCGGUUACGAGGUACGCGUAUACGGCCCCAUAAGAUCCGGCCUGAGGGAGGAAACGGCGAGGCGGAGGAGCAGGCUGCAGGACAUUAAGGGUAACAAAUGAGGCUGGCUGGUCCUCCCGCAGGACUCUCUUCCGACUGAGGUGGCGGGAAUGAAAAUAAGUGUACCUCGCUCCUAGCUACCAGCUUUUUUCUUCAUUUCCUCUCCCCUUGACCCUCUCUUUCGCUCCGCUUCUUCUAGCCGACCUCACUUUUCCAACGUCGCAUUAUUCUCCGACCCACCCCCCGUCUAACCCUCUCUGGUUGACUCGGUUUUUAAAGCGUGCUACGCUUACGACGAGAAAGCGCGACGGAGAUUUAGCGCGCGAGGUAGCGAAGCGUGCACCCGAGGCGGCUCAAGUUCUCCGAGCGCGCGUUUCCUAAGCGCCGAACCGAGGUGGUUGCACGCCAGUCGACGGCCGUUGUUACACACGCUGCAUACACCGGCUUCCGACCUCUCAACCUCGAGGAAAUAUUUAGCAGUUAGCCGGGGAUUAAGGAAUGCGUUAAUUACGAAAUACUGCUGCUUCGCUCUAUUAAGCGGAAAUGUAAUUUCGCGACCGGCCACGCGAAACCACGCCUACGCUUAAUUGCUCAAGGCCGAUCCUUUAAUCUCGGUCUUGAUUAAUUGAGACCUGGAGUACCCGCGAGUAUUUCGCGCCAACGGGCACCCGUGACGUACGCACGCCGGAGAUUGUGAAGGAGUCGCGAGUUCUGAUGGAGUUUUAUUGUCCACGUUAAUUGAUUCCGCACAACACUCGGCCAACAUUUAUGAGUGCUUCUGUUUGUUUGCUUUUACGUUUAGAUUUUAGGUACCGCUGGAUGGAACGAGUAAUUGGCUGCGAAUCAUUGCUGAUUUUGUUUGCGCGAUACAAUGCUUAUAAUUGGAUCUAUUUAGAGUCAUGUUAAAUAAACUAAGCGACAAAUUUAUUUUCAUGUAACAAGAUUUAUAUUUGAAGCUUCAAAGAAGUAAUAAUUGUGAAGUAAUUAUAAAUAUAAAUAACGUGUAUUAAAAUUUUCAUAGAUAUUUCAUAGGGGAUUAAAAACGAAUGUUAUAACAAAUGAAUAAUCAAAGAGGAUAAAAGUGUCUGAAGGAAAAUUGCUGGAAAAAUGUUUCUCCGAUUAUUAGGGUGGAUCAAGAAGUCGGCUAACUGCAAAGAGCAUUGUAGCUGGUUUUUUCAUUAUUAUGCGAAAACGGGGCACGCUGGUGGACGCGUGGCCGGCUUUUGUUGAUUGGACGAAGCGUGCCAGCGUUUGGUCCGUUCGCGUGCAUGCGCGAGCCGCAUCCUGCCAUGCCUGCCGCAUGUACAAG